rnacentral:rRNA from 1 species
GACAUAGGUCGCAAACGUUGUCCGGAAUUACUGGGCGUAAAGAGCUCGUAGGUGGUUUGUCGCGUUGUUCGUGAAAACUCACAGCUUAACUGUGGGCGUGCGGGCGAUACGGGCAGACUUGAGUACUGCAGGGGAGACUGGAAUUCCUGGUGUAGCGGUGGAAUGCGCAGAUAUCAGGAGGAACACCGGUGGCGAAGGCGGGUCUCUGGGCAGUAACUGACGCUGAGGAGCGAAAGCGUGGGGAGCGAACAGG